CCCUUAGAUGUUCUGGGCCGCACGCGCGCUACACUGAUGCAUUCAACGAGUCUAAAACCUGCUCUGAUAGGGGUGGGUAAUCUUUUGAAUGUGCAUCGCGAUUGGGAUAGAUGAUUGCAAUUUUUCAUCUUCAACGAGGAAUGCCUAGUAAACGCAAGUCAUCAGCUUGCAUUGAUUACGUCCCUGCCCUUUGUACACACCGCCCGUCGCUCCUACCGAUUGAAUGAUCCGAUGAAUAUCAUGGAUUGAGGAUGCAAGUAGGUUAGCCUAUCUUCAUCUUCGAGAAGUGAAGUAAAUCUUAUCAUUUAGAGGAAGGAGAAGUCGUAACA
rnacentral:rRNA from 1 species